UACGUAGGCAGCGAGCGUUGUUCGGAGUUACUGGGCGUAAAGGGUGUGUAGGCGGUCGUUUAAGUUUGGUGUGAAAUCUCCCGGCUCAACUGGGAGGGUGCGCCGAAUACUGAGCGGCUAGAGUGCGGGAGAGGAAAGUGGAAUUCCUGGUGUAGCGGUGAAAUGCGUAGAUAUCAGGAGGAACACCGGUGGUGUAGACGGCUUUCUGGACCGUAACUGACGCUGAGACACGAAAGCGUGGGUAGCAAACAGG
rnacentral:rRNA from 1 species